rnacentral:rRNA from 1 species
UCUGCUCAAUGAAAUUAAAUAGCCGCAAUUAUAUUGUGCUAAGGUAGCAUAAUCAUUUGUCUUUUAAUUAAAGACUAGAAUAAAUGAUUUUACAUUUAAUUUAUUUUUUUUUCUUUAAAUUUUAAAUUUUUUUUAAAUAUAAAAAAAUAUUUAUCUUUAAAAAAGACAAAAAGACCCUAUUAAACUUUACUAUAGUUUAACUGGGGAAGUUAAUUAAUUAUUACUUUAAUUUUAAUAAUUUAAAUAAUCCAAUAUAAUUGAUAAAAAUAAGUUACUAUAGGGAUAACAGCGUAAUAUUUUUUAAAGAUCUUAUUAAAAAAAAAAAUUACGACCUCGAUGUUGAAUUAUUUUUUCUUAAAAAAGCAAAAAUUUUUAAAGAAAGUCGGUUCGACUUUUAAUUAAUUACAUGAUCUGAGUUCAAACCGGAG